rnacentral:miRNA from 1 species
CGCCCUGUGGCUUCAGUUCUGUA